CCUACGGGAGGCAGCAGUGGGGAAUAUUGCACAAUGGGGGAAACCCUGAUGCAGCGACGCCGCGUGAGUGAAGAAGUAUUACGGUACGUAAAGCUCUAUCAGCAGGGAAGAAAAUGACGGUACCUGACUAAGAAGCCCCGGCUAACUACGUGCCAGCAGCCGCGGUAAUACGUAGGGGGCAAGCGUUAUCCGGAUUUACUGGGUGUAAAGGGAGCGUAGACGGCAGCGCAAGUCUGGAGUGAAAUCCCAUGGCUUAACCAUGGAACUGCUUUGGAAACUGUGCAGCUAGAGUGCAGGAGAGGUAAGCGGAAUUCCUAGUGUAGCGGUGAAAUGCGUAGAUAUUAGGAGGAACACCAGUGGCGAAGGCGGCUUACUGGACUGUAACUGACGUUGAGGCUCGAAAGCGUGGGGAGCAAACAGGAUUAGAUACCCUAGUAGUC
rnacentral:rRNA from 1 species